AACGAACGCUGGCGGCAUGCCUAACACAUGCAAGUCGAACGAGACCUUCGGGUCUAGUGGCGCACGGGUGCGUAACGCGUGGGAACCUGCCCUUAGGUUCGGAAUACCUCCCCGAAAGGGGUGCUAAUACCGGAUAAUGUCUUCGGACCAAAGAUUUAUCGCCUUUGGUUGGGCCCGCGUUGGAUUAGCUAGUUGGUAGGGUAAAAGCCUACCAAGGCGACGAUCCAUAGCUGGUCUGAGAGGAUGAUCAGCCACACUGGGACUGAGACACGGCCCAGACUCCUACGGGAGGCAGCAGUGGGGGAUAUUGGACAAUGGGCGAAAGCCUGAUCCAGCAAUGCCGCGUGAGUGAUGAAGGCCUUAGGGUUGUAAAGCUCUUUUACCCGGGAUGAUAAUGACAGUACCUGGAGAAUAAGCUCCGGCUAACUCCGUG
rnacentral:rRNA from 1 species